AAAGAGUAUGAUUUCUUUAUAUGCAGGGAUAAUGUUACUUUUUUAUAAUGAGAGCCUACAAUGGACCCUGUUUUAGGUGAUCAUAGCUUUUUUUUUUAACUUGGCUCAGAGAUAGGUGAAUUGACAAUUAUUUGAAAGCAUCUCUAACUGACAAGAUAAAGAUGGGUGCAAUCUUUGUGCACCUCCUUGGUCACGACCUCUACUCAGGCGUGGGGCAGGUAAGGGUGUCCUAGGAAGCAGUCCAGAGCUCCUGCAUCAACCUCUUCUCUGGUUUUCCUUUGGUUUGGACAACAUACCAUCAGGGUCUGCUUGGACUGGACAGGUGAACUGAGUCUUCCCCAGAAUCAUGUGACUGGAAUUAUUGAACUGGAAUGCAGAUGUUGAAGAAGCAACUUCUAUAGAAAACUGCUUAUGAUAUUCUUAAGAAAGUUCUAUAUAGAGCUUAAUUCUGGGGGGAAACUGACCUGUUAUUCUUUUCCCCCAUGAUCCACAAAUGUUAGGUGUGUAUUGAAAAGUGUCCUGUCAUUUUACAACCAUCUUGGUUAAGUGGUCGAUCUCUUGCCUAAUUACAUUCUUAUUGCCCUGCCUUUGUUCUUUUAAUCUUUUAUUUUACUAAAAUGAAUUCUUAAAUACUAAAAACAAGAACUUGUGUUAUAUAGAUAUUACUCAAAAAGUACAGUUUUCACUUUUUCAUAUUUUCAAAUGACUGUUCUGUCUUCAAGUCUGUAAGAAAAAAAUUGAAAGAAGUAAUGGUUGAUUUAAAUAUCAGUUAAUGUGCAGUUAAAUAAAUUUGAAUCCAACAC
rnacentral:lncRNA from 1 species